rnacentral:lncRNA from 1 species
GCUAUGUAUCUAGACUGAUCUAUUUGUUUUAUUUUGGUCUGGAAAAAGACGAUGCCAAUUGGGGUAGACACGUGCUUUGCUUCCCAGCAGAGCCAGCAGCCAGCCCGGUGGCAUCCUUGCUGUGGCAGUCCACCAGGGAUAGGGGUAGGCUUCAGGUUUUAAACUUUGUAAUGCUACUCUGUUGUCAAGUACAAGAAAAAAAUUAUUUCAUAGCGUUUAGCAUUUGUUUUCGAAUGUGGAGAAAACCUAGUCUGUAGUUCCCUGUCAAACUGCUCUGUCAUAGAUUCUGGAUUCUUCCCUUCGUUCUUUCCUUCUUAAUUUGCUUAAAGAAAAUUACAAGAGGUCGUUCAAGACUCUAAUGCCUUAUUUUCCUGGGAUGGUGUGUGUGUGUGUGUGUGUGUGUGUGUGUGUGUGUGUGUGUGUGUGUGUGUGCUUCCCUUGAAGGUAGGAAUGAAGGCUGCUGUUAGCUUUCUAUCAGGGGCGUAAUUAUUCCGGGGGUGGGAGUUCUUCUCCUUACAACUCUCUUUGUCAUCUGCGUUCUUCCAAGCUCUGAAGGUGCUUUUUCUCUAUGUGAAAGGAGAUUCUUUGUCCUAUUCUUCAUCAGCACUGUGGCUUCCCAAGGUAGACACUAUUUUGUGCCUGUCACAGAGAGAGGGAGUGCAGGUUUGCAGUGCUCACAGACAAUUGAUUGUCUGCGCUAAUGUGUUUCAUUUACAUGUUUAUAACGUCAACGGUCCUGGGUGUCCACUGUACCAUUCACCCCUGCGUUCCCACAAGGGGGCAAUUGUCUGAAUGGCCAAGUCAGACACCUUUUUGAUUGCUCUUUGCUUCUCUUUUUAGAGCAAAGAGAUAAAGGAGGGAAAUCUGUGAUGCAGAAACACUAGUUGAAAAUAUACAAAAUGUCAGCACAAAAGCAGAUGUUAACAUAAGCCCAGAUAUGCUUUUUAACCAAGAUGUGAAUGUUGAAGACUAGAACACAGAGCAGAGGGAAGGAUGACUGGAGACCAGGAAAUGCAGCCCCACGUCUUCAGUUCCCCUUCUUCUUAAGCAACCAGAAGAUGAAAUGUGAUUUUUCUUUUAAUCUUUGAGCCUUGGAACCUCCAGGAACCUCCUUGUUGCUAGUGUGUUUGCUGUGAUUUGUGAAUUUUGUAUAUAUUUAUAUAGCUCUGUUUGUGCCAACAUCAUCAGCUUACCACUUGGAAAAAACCUAUUGAAUGACUGUUUGGGCUGUAGGGAGUGUAAACUUUUAAACGUAAGAUCCAAGGAUUUCUUCAUCAGGCAGUUUUUAAAGAAGGACAAUAAUAAUCAUCAGGCUGGAGAAAGCCUUGCCUUCAUAAGCGGUGUGCUAGAUAGUUUUAUCUCGGGUGACAGUUGUAUCAGAGCUAAAGCUCUCAGGAAAAGUGUAACCAGUAAUUACAAAAUAAAUAAUUUCAUUUUAAGAUGUUCUGUUCUCUCUCUCUCUCUGUCUCUCUCUCUCUCUGUCUCUCUCUCUCUCUCUGUGUGUGUGUGUGUGUGUGUGUGUCUGUGUGUGUGUGUGUGUGUGCAUGUGUGUUGCGUUGUGUUUCCUGUCAAGGUGCUGACAGGAAAAGUCAUUCAUGCAUGUGUCUUCUGGAGUUCUCUCUUCUUCACUCUCCCCUGUAUAUCACACAUCUAUGUAACCUACACGAGUACACCUGUUUACAAAUAUUUCACAGAUCGGAUAGUGCCUUGCUGUUUCACUUAUGUAAUACAAUGAUUAGAAGUUGGUUUGAUUUUCUGUGUGGUCCUGGAGGAGAGAAAAAUCCUAACUGUUGUGUCAUGUGGUGCUAAGUAAAUGGGGGGGGUGCUUUUAUAAUCUUGUAGC